GGAGGUGCAAGCGUUAUCCGGAUUCACUGGGGUUUAAAGGGGUGCGUAGGCGGGGAAUGUAAGUCAGUGGUGAAAUCUCGGAGCUUAACUCCGAAACUGCCAUUGAUACUAUGUUUCUUGAAUAUUGUGGAGGUGAGCGGAAUAUGUCAUGUAGCGGUGAAAUGCUUAGAUAUGACAUAGAACACCGAUUGCGAAGGCAGCUCGCUACACAUAUAUUGACGCUGAGGCACGAAAGCGUGGGGAUCAAACAGGAUUAGAUACCCUGGUAGUCCACGCCCUAAACUAUGAUUACUCGACGUGUGCGAUACACAGUACGCGUCUGAGCGAAAGCAUUAAGUAAUCCACCUGGGAAGUACGACCGCAAGGUUG
rnacentral:rRNA from 1 species